CGCUGGCGGCGUGCCUAAUACAUGCAAGUCGAACGGCUUUUCUAUGGAAGCUUGCUUCCACUGAGAAGAUAGUGGCGAACGGGUGAGUAACACGUGGGUAACCUGCCCAUAAGAGGGGGAUAACAUCCGGAAACGGGUGCUAAUACCGCAUAGUUUUCUUGAUCGCAUGAUCGGGAAAGGAAAGACGGCCUUUGUGCUGUCGCUUAUGGAUGGACCCGCGGCGUAUUAGUUAGUUGGUGAGGUAACGGCUCACCAAGACGAUGAUACGUAGCCGACCUGAGAGGGUGAUCGGCCACAUUGGGACUGAGACACGGCCCAAACUCCUACGGGAGGCAGCAGUAGGGAAUCUUCCGCAAUGGACGAAAGUCUGACGGAGCAACGCCGCGUGAGCGAAAAGAAGGUUUUCGGAUCGUAAAACUCUGUUGUCAGAGAAGAACAAGUUGGAGAGUAACUGCUCCAGCCUUGACGGUAUCUGACCAGAAAGCCACGGCUAACUACGUGCCAGCCGCCGC
rnacentral:rRNA from 1 species